GGGGCAGUGGCGGAACGGCAGACGCAGCAGACUUAAAAUCUGAAGCCUGAAAGGGCGUGUGGGUUCGAAUCCCACCUGCCUCA
rnacentral:tRNA from 1 species